rnacentral:rRNA from 1 species
UACGUAGGGUGCAAGCGUUGUCCGGAAUUACUGGGCGUAAAGCGCGUGUAGGCGGCUCUUCAAGUCAGGCGUGAAAGCCCCGGGCUCAACUCGGGAACUGCGCUUGAUACUGUCGAGCUAGAGUGUGGAAGGGGCGAUUGGAAUUCCGUGUGUAGCGGUGAAAUGCGUAGAUAUACGGAGGAACACCAGAGGCGAAGGCGGAUCGCUGGGCCAACACUGACGCUGAGACGCGAAAGCUAGGGUAGCAAACGGG